AAACCGUUCAGGGGUAAACCUGAGGAACCCGAAAGAUCGAAUGGGGAGAUUCAGCGUCAGCGGCGCUGGCUCGGCCGAGUGAACGAUGUUACGGACUACGGUAUCGCGACACGUUAUCACUCAUGCCUUGUCCGGCGUCGUCGUCGUGCACUUCUCCUCUAGUAGAACGUCGCGACCCGUUGGGUGCCGGUCUACGGUCCGAGCGGUAGACUGUCGCGUCGCUUCGGCGCACGCGUCAGACCCUCGGUCGCCCGGCCGGCUGCCCGGCGGUCGAACUUAUAAGGUAUCUUGCCGCAAUUGUAAAACUGCGUCGGGCCCGCCGCAAGCGCGGUCAGUGUCUCGGAGGUACGGACCCGGUGCCGUCCCCGAGCCUGACCAACUGUUGGCAGGCGGAGUCCUCGGACGGGCAAUACACAAUAAUACCGGUCUGCGACGCUACUGCUUUGGGUACUCUCAGGACCCGUCUUGAAACACGGACCAAGGAGUCUAACAUGUGCGCGAGUCAUUGGGACCGCAAAGCCUAAAGGCGUAAUGAAAGUGAAGGUCGACCUCGCGUCGACCGAGGGAGGAUGGGCCGCGUUAAGACGCGGCUCCGCACUCCCGGGGCGUCUCGUUCUCAUUGCGAGAAGAGGCGCACCCAGAGCGUACACGUUGGGACCCGAAAGAUGGUGAACUAUGCCUGGUCAGGACGAAGUCAGGGGAAACCCUGAUGGAGGUCCGUAGCGAUUCUGACGUGCAAAUCGAUCGUCGGAACUGGGUAUAGGGGCGAAAGACUAAUCGA
rnacentral:rRNA from 1 species